AACGAACGCUGGCGGCAGGCCUAACACAUGCAAGUCGAGCGAGGACUUCGGUCCUAGCGGCGGACGGGUGAGUAACGCGUGGGAACGUGCCCUUUGCUUCGGAAUAGCCCUGGGAAACUGGGAGUAAUACCGGAUGAGCCCUUUGGGGGAAAGAUUUAUCGGCGAAGGAUCGGCCCGCGUUGGAUUAGGUAGUUGGUGGGGUAAUGGCCUACCAAGCCGACGAUCCAUAGCUGGUUUGAGAGGAUGAUCAGCCACACUGGGACUGAGACACGGCCCCGACUCCUACGGGAGGCAGCAGUGGGGAAUCUUAGACAAUGGGGGAAACCCUGAUCUAGCCAUGCCGCGUGAGCGAUGAAGGCCUUAGGGUUGUAAAGCUCUUUCAGCUGGGAAGAUAAUGACGGUACCAGCAGAAGAAGCCCCGGCUAACUCCGUG
rnacentral:rRNA from 1 species